rnacentral:rRNA from 1 species
AUGAACGCUGGCGGCGUGCCUAAUACAUGCAAGUCGAGCGAACAGACGAGGAGCUUGCUCCUCUGACGUUAGCGGCGGACGGGUGAGUAACACGUGGAUAACCUACCUAUAAGACUGGGAUAACUUCGGGAAACCGGAGCUAAUACCGGAUAAUAUAUUGAACCGCAUGGUUCAAUAGUGAAAGACGGUUUUGCUGUCACUUAUAGAUGGAUCCGCGCCGCAUUAGCUAGUUGGUAAGAUAACGGCUUACCAAGGCAACGAUGCGUAGCCGACCUGAGAGGGUGAUCGGCCACACUGGAACUGAGACACGGUCCAGACUCCUACGGGAGGCAGCAGUAGGGAAUCUUCCGCAAUGGGCGAAAGCCUGACGGAGCAACGCCGCGUGAGUGAUGAAGGUCUUCGGAUCGUAAAACUCUGUUAUUAGGGAAGAACAAAUGUGUAAGUAACUAUGCACGUCUUGACGGUACCUAAUCAGAAAGCCACGGCUAACUACGUG